GGUUAAGCGACUAAGCGUACACGGUGGAUGCCCUGGCAGUCAGAGGCGAUGAAGGACGUGCUAAUCUGCGAAAAGCGUCGGUAAGGUGAUAUGAACCGUUAUAGCCGGCGAUGUCCGAAUGGGGAAACCCAGUGCAAUUCGUUGCACUAUCGUUAACUGAAUACAUAGGUUAACGAGGCGAACCGGGGGAACUGAAACAUCUAAGUACCCCGAGGAAAAGAAAUCAACCGAGAUUCCCCCAGUAGCGGCGAGCGAACGGGGAGCAGCCCAGAGUCUGAAUCAGCUUGUGUGUUAGUGGAACGGUCUGGAAAGUCCGACGGUACAGGGUGAUAGUCCCGUACACCAAAAUGCACAGGUUGUGAACUCGAAGAGUAGGGCGGGACACGUGGUAUCCUGUCUGAAUAUGGGGGGACCAUCCUCCAAGGCUAAAUACUCCUGACUGACCGAUAGUGAACCAGUACCGUGAGGGAAAGGCGAAAAGAACCCCGGCGAGGGGAGUGAAAAAGAACCUGAAACCGUGUACGUACAAGCAGUGGGAGCACCUUCGGGUGUGACUGCGUACCUUUUGUAUAAUGGGUCAGCGACUUAUAUUCUGUAGCAAGGUUAACCGUAUAGGGGAGCCGCAGGGAAACCGAGUCUUAACUGGGCGUUAAGUUGCAGGGUAUAGACCCGAAACCCGGUGAUCUAGCCAUGGGCAGGUUGAAGGUUGGGUAACACUAACUGGAGGACCGAACCGACUAAUGUUGAAAAAUUAGCGGAUGACUUGUGGCUGGGGGUGAAAGGCCAAUCAAACCGGGAGAUAGCUGGUUCUCCCCGAAAGCUAUUUAGGUAGCGCCUCGUGAACUCAUCUUCGGGGGUAGAGCACUGUUUCGGCUAGGGGGUCAUCCCGACUUACCAACCCGAUGCAAACUACGAAUACCGAAGAAUGUUAUCACGGGAGACACACGGCGGGUGCUAACGUCCGUCGUGAAGAGGGAAACAACCCAGACCGCCAGCUAAGGUCCCAAAGUCAUGGUUAAGUGGGAAACGAUGUGGGAAGGCACAGACAGCCAGGAUGUUGGCUUAGAAGCAGCCAUCAUUUAAAGAAAGCGUAAUAGCUCACUGGUCGAGUCGGCCUGCGCGGAAGAUGUAACGGGGCUAAACCAUGCACCGAAGCUGCGGCAGCGACACUAUGUGUUGUUGGGUAGGGGAGCGUUCUGUAAGCCUGCGAAGGUGACCUGUGAGGGUUGCUGGAGGUAUCAGAAGUGCGAAUGCUGACAUAAGUAACGAUAAAGCGGGUGAAAAGCCCGCUCGCCGGAAGACCAAGGGUUCCUGUCCAACGUUAAUCGGGGCAGGGUGAGUCGACCCCUAAGGCGAGGCCGAAAGGCGUAGUCGAUGGGAAACAGGUUAAUAUUCCUGUACUUGGUGUUACUGCGAAGGGGGGACGGAGAAGGCUAUGUUAGCCGGGCGACGGUUGUCCCGGUUUAAGCAUGUAGGCUGGUUGUCCAGGCAAAUCCGGAUAAUCAAGGCUGAGGUGUGAUGACGAGGCACUACGGUGCUGAAGUAACAAAUGCCCUGCUUCCAGGAAAAGCCUCUAAGCAUCAGGUAACAUCAAAUCGUACCCCAAACCGACACAGGUGGUCAGGUAGAGAAUACCAAGGCGCUUGAGAGAACUCGGGUGAAGGAACUAGGCAAAAUGGUGCCGUAACUUCGGGAGAAGGCACGCUGGUGUGUAGGUGAAGUCCCUGCGGAUGGAGCUGAGACCAGUCGAAGAUACCAGCUGGCUGCAACUGUUUAUUAAAAACACAGCACUGUGCAAACACGAAAGUGGACGUAUACGGUGUGACGCCUGCCCGGUGCCGGAAGGUUAAUUGAUGGGGUUAUCCGUAAGGAGAAGCUCUUGAUCGAAGCCCCGGUAAACGGCGGCCGUAACUAUAACGGUCCUAAGGUAGCGAAAUUCCUUGUCGGGUAAGUUCCGACCUGCACGAAUGGCGUAAUGAUGGCCAGGCUGUCUCCACCCGAGACUCAGUGAAAUUGAACUCGCUGUGAAGAUGCAGUGUACCCGCGGCAAGACGGAAAGACCCCGUGAACCUUUACUAUAGCUUGACACUGAACAUUGAGCCUUGAUGUGUAGGAUAGGUGGGAGGCUUUGAAGCGUGGACGCCAGUCUGCGUGGAGCCAACCUUGAAAUACCACCCUUUAAUGUUUGAUGUUCUAACGUUGGCCCCUGACCGGGGUUGCGGACAGUGUCUGGUGGGUAGUUUGACUGGGGCGGUCUCCUCCCAAAGCGUAACGGAGGAGCACGAAGGUUAGCUAAUCCUGGUCGGACAUCAGGAGGUUAGUGCAAUGGCAUAAGCUAGCUUGACUGCGAGCGUGACGGCGCGAGCAGGUGCGAAAGCAGGUCAUAGUGAUCCGGUGGUUCUGAAUGGAAGGGCCAUCGCUCAACGGAUAAAAGGUACUCCGGGGAUAACAGGCUGAUACCGCCCAAGAGUUCAUAUCGACGGCGGUGUUUGGCACCUCGAUGUCGGCUCAUCACAUCCUGGGGCUGAAGUAGGUCCCAAGGGUAUGGCUGUUCGCCAUUUAAAGUGGUACGCGAGCUGGGUUUAGAACGUCGUGAGACAGUUCGGUCCCUAUCUGCCGUGGGCGCUGGAGAAUUGAGGGGGGCUGCUCCUAGUACGAGAGGACCGGAGUGGACGCAUCACUGGUGUUCGGGUUGUCAUGCCAAUGGCACUGCCCGGUAGCUAAAUGCGGAAGAGAUAAGUGCUGAAAGCAUCUAAGCACGAAACUUGCCCCGAGAUGAGUUCUCCCUGAGACUUUAAGUCUCCUGAAGGAACGUUAAAGACGAUGACGUUGAUAGGCCGGGUGUGUAAGCGCAGCGAUGCGUUGAGCUAACCGGUACUAAUGAACCGUGAGGCUUAACCUU
rnacentral:rRNA from 1 species